AGGAGCGAGUGACCAAGUGUUCGCUCGUGUCAACAGGUUUUUGUUAGUGCUGAAAAUAACUCAUUUUACUGGAAUGCCUUUCUCGCUUAGCCCCAUUGUGAAAGCAUAAGUCUGAAGUGGAAAGAGGGGCGAGGACCCGUGGUUUUGGACGCGGAGCAGACAUUUGUCCUCCGGCGUGUUCUUGGAUGACACCUCGGCCGUGCCAUAAACAGGCCCUCCGGAGGCUCGUGGAAAGCGCGGGGCGCGGCGCGGUCUCGCUGAACUUUCCGGAAUCUACGAGCGAGCUCCCUUCUGCGCGACCGUUCGUUCUGUUAUUCUAUCCCAGCGCGAGAGGACACGGACCGAAAUAGCCCGCGGUUUCAUUAGAAAAAUAAGGCUUGUCUAUUCGCGUUGGGUGGAUGAGGGUGAUGUUCUUAAGCAUGUAAUAUUUAUUUUUUCUUCAGGCGCCCCUAAACUGAGACUCUUUGAUGGAGUCUGUUGAAUACUUUUAAAUUGAUUUAAAUUAUUAGUGUUUGGGCUGUAAUAUGAUGUUGUAUAUCACAGUGUUGUAUAUGACCGCUGAGACGACAUUCUUUAUUUAAGCCUAGACCAGAACAAAACAAUUUCCCUCCUAAAUAUCAUGUCCAGAUUUCCAUUGAUGAGGGAUACAUUUAUACUCAUCCUGUCUGUUUAUUAGCCAGGCUAAUUAAGAGUCAGAUCUUUUGGAGAAAGGUUUUCUGCUUUACUUUAAAUGCACAACUGGUGACUCAUGCUACUGCUCUCAGGUGUUUUGCUGUGAUGUCAGCACCGCAAAUGAUCAUGUCAUUUCAGGUCUAAUGAAGUGAGGAACAAGUCUUGCAUUUGCAGGGCUGAUCCCUGUGUGGAUGUCAUUGAACAAGUGAAUGAUGGUAGGUAGGUUUCACACCAGAGCUAUAGAGGUGCAUCUCGGAGCAGCAGCCCUGAUGGAAAUCUAAGACUGAGAGCACGAAGGAGACUAGACCAGCAGGGAGACAUCUGUGGCUACCGUGACGACAGCUAAACUCCCACCAAGACAUCUCAGAACAUGUUUUUUCCAGAUCAGAGGCUGCAUCAAAGGCACUGCUGGAGACACAAAUAACGAGGUUAAGGACGAGUAAUAAUCACCCCAGAACUAGACGCUGGGGAUCGACACCUUCUAUGGCACAAUGGAGAGGAGGGGACAUGAGAGGAGUCUUGAGUGUAAGAUCAUAGAAGUUAAAAGACCUCUGGCAAAGGUCUCAGGUUCACAUGAAUGUGCACGGACAGCAUGAAUGGAGUGAUAAAUUGUGCUAAGGAAUGGGGAUGGUAUUUCUGGUCACAUGCUAAGCGGUCUUCUUUGUAACUGGUCUGUGCAAGGUUUCUGUGUGUUCAGAGCAACGAGAAACUGAAGACCUAUGUUAGUAGCGCUGUUUACAGAUCUUGUUGCCAUGGUCCUCACUCAACCACGCUCAUCAGUUUAGGCAGCCACUACAGCCAAUUUUAUUUUAUUUUUUUUACAUUGUUUUGUAGGGUCCAUUGCUUGAAUUCUUGACAUUUCUGCAAAUAAGUAAAUUCCAAGUCCAAAAGAAACAUGGAACUCCAACCUCUCUGUAGGAUUCUCUCUCUCUCCCUCUGUCUCUCUUUCUCAUUCUCUCUCCGUUUCUGCCUGUUUCUUAUAACAAAUUAAUAAAACUAUAUACAUAAAUUUAGAGAAACAAAACUGCUGUUUCAUGGGUAAAGUGUACAAUGUAAUAAAAUGACUAUUCGGUAAUAUCCAGUGCUGUGUAGAAAUUAUUACAAAAAGACUCACUUUAACAGACCUUUACUACUAGAAACUUACUGUAAUGAUUGGACCUUUACAGUAUAUACCAACAGAUACCAAUUGUUUCGAGGAGAUGCCAGACUAACAACUACACAUAUCAAGAUGUGAAAAUAAAUUCAGCUGAAACUUUUAAAUCAGACAUUGCUAUAAUCCUUUACACCUCUCCAAGAGCCAGAACUUGCAUCUCAGAUCUUGCAUUCAAAAACCUCAACUUGCUUACUAGAUUCACUACCCACACACUUAGGAAAUCCUACUGGAAGUAACUGAACUUUUACUAAAUUUAAUA